ensembl:miRNA gmo-mir-11936 gmo-mir-11936
CGCGGGCUCGGUAGAUCAAACGCGCUUGGCGCGUUUGAUCUACCGAGCCCGCGUU